CCUACGGGUGGCAGCAGUAGGGAAUAUUGCACAAUGGGGGAAACCCUGAUGCAGCAACGCCGCGUGGAGGAUGAAGGCUUUCGGAUUGUAAACUCCUUUUGUCAGAGAAGAUAACGACGGUAUCUAACGAAUAAGCACCGGCUAACUCCGUGCCAGCAGCCGCGGUCAUACGGAGGGUGCAAGCGUUACUCGGAAUCACUGGGCGUAAAGAGCGCGUAGGCGGGAUAGCAAGUCGGAUGUGAAAUCCUAGGGCUUAACCUUAGAACUGCAUUUGAAACUGGUAUUCUAGAGUAUGGGAGAGGUAGGUAGAAUUCUUGGUGUAGGGGUAAAAGCCGUAGAGAUCAGGAGGAAUAAUCGUGGCGAAGGCGACCGGCUAGAACAUAACUGACGCUGAGGCGCGAAAGCGUGGGGAGCAAACAGGAUUAGAUACCCCUGUAGUC
rnacentral:rRNA from 1 species